rnacentral:rRNA from 1 species
CCUACGGGCGGCAGUGGGGAAUAUUGGACAAUGGGCGAAAGCCUGAUCCAGCCAUGCCGCGUGUGUGAAGAAGGCCUUCGGGUUGUAAAGCACUUUCAGUGGGGAAGAAAGCCUUGGGGCUAAUACCCUCGAGGAAGGACAUCACCCACAGAAGAAGCACCGGCUACCUCCGUGCCAGCAGCCGCGGUAAUACGGAGGGUGCGAGCGUUAAUCGGAAUUACUGGGCGUAAAGCGCGCGUAGGCGGUCUGAUAAGCCGGUUGUGAAAGCCCCGGGCUCAACCUGGGAACGGCAUCCGGAACUGUCAGGCUAGAGUGCAGGAGAGGAAGGUAGAAUUCCCGGUGUAGCGGUGAAAUGCGUAGAGAUCGGGAGGAAUACCAGUGGCGAAGGCGGCCUUCUGGACUGACACUGACGCUGAGGUGCGAAAGCGUGGGUAGCAAACAGGAUUAGAUACCCCAGUAGUC